rnacentral:pre_miRNA from 2 species
AACCUUAAGGAUAAGACCCUAUCAAUAUUGCCUCUGCUUUUGUGAUCAGGGUAGUAGUGCAAUAUUGCUUAUAGGGUCUUUUCUUUGGAGGGU